CUAACUCAGGAAGCUGGCAAGAAGUUUGCAUCUAAUUUACUUGAUGACAACUGAUGCCAAGGUACCUCAGGAACCUGCCAAAAUUAGAAUUUUAAGGCUAACUUGUGAAGCUCAGAAGAUGUUUGUGUCUGGGAAAUAACCAACUUGAUUAGAACUGAUGCCAAGGAACAACAGAACUGAAAAUACAGAGCUCUUCUAGAGAGAGAGAGAGAGAGAGAGAGAUAACGUGCCCCUUUUAUUCUCAUCUCUGAUCUUCCUUCACAUCCACUGCUGUUAAUCUACUGAUCACGGACUACUACUUUUUCAAUUCUCUUUCUCUUAUUCUUCCCAACAUUGACUGCAUCAACCUAGCUGCAAGCUACUCCUAAUGUAGUAAGUUCUCUUGGCCUCUUUGACACGUCUCUAUGAUAUUGACUUUUUUUUUUUUUUUUUUUUUUUGGUUGAAAAAAUAGUUUAUUAACUCAACCAAAGGAGAUAGCAUUUAGCAGGUUCAAACCACUGCCAAAACAGAAAAUUAAAAAGUGAAAUUAACAACACAAACUUUGUUCUUUAAAAAGUACGAAGUUUUAAAACAAGGACAAUACAAAUGAACACUCAUUUGAAGGAAUCUUUUCUCAGUUGCACAACCCUAUCUUUAGCUUGGUAGGUGAGAGUCGAGAGAGGAGUGAAGUAUUUAUGGGUGGGUUUGGAAGAAUUCUUCCAUUUGAAACAUUCGAAUUCCUCUGAGAGUAUCACAAGUUCAUUACUUGUUUGCCAACAAUUAUCAAGUUCCAGAAGAGGUGGGGUGGGACAAAAAUCGUUAUUUUUUUCCCUACAAUUAUCAAUUUCAAAUGAUGUUAUUUUUUGUUUAUUAUAUGGAAAUAAAAUCUAAUAAUUCAAAUUAUAGACAAAUAUCAACAUUUCUAUUGGCAAAUAGGAGGUUAUGCCAUGGUUCCUUACAUCGAUUGGAUACAAAUAUUAGAUAAAAAAAUUUCAAGAUUAUAAUAUAAGGUACGUGUUUAAUAUGUUUAAUUUCAAGAUUUUUGUACAAAUAUGAUACAGAAAACGUUUAGUACGUGUUCAAUAUGUUUAAGUAUAAAAAGCUUGUAUUUUUCAGAGUAUUUUUUAUUUUUAUGGCAAAUGGGAGUUUUAUUUAAAAUAUA